UACGAAGGGUGCAAGCGUUACUCGGAAUUACUGGGCGUAAAGCGUGCGUAGGUGGCUUUUUAAGUCCGUUGUGAAAGCCCUGGGCUCAACCUGGGAAUGGCAGUGGAUACUGGAAAGCUAGAGUGCGGUAGAGGGUAGUGGAAUUCCCGGUGUAGCAGUGAAAUGCGUAGAGAUCGGGAGGAACACCAGUGGCGAAGGCGGCUACCUGGACCAGCACUGACACUGAGGCACGAAAGCGUGGGGAGCAAACAGG
rnacentral:rRNA from 1 species